rnacentral:rRNA from 1 species
AUGGUCAUCUCAUUUGGUGGUCACCGCCAAGAGCAAAACCAAAAACCAAGGACGGUACUCUUCUUGCCGGGGAAAUCGCUCCUCUGCCCUGCCUGUCUAUACAUGGAUGAUGAGGAUGGCAAAGGGAAGAUAUAUCUGCUUGCUAACAUCGGCAACGCCGGAAAGCCAUCAGCGGUGCUAGCUUUCGAUGUCGACGACGAGUCAAUAUCCACCAUUGCCCUGCCGCCGGGCAAGCACGUCCAAUCGAGGCUGAUGGAGAUACGGGGCCGCGUCUGCGUUUGCAUGCGGGACGUCGCCAAGCAGAACAUCCUGCUCUGGUCGCUCACGCCGGCUGGCUCCGGCCACCGGUGGGAGCAGCUGUGCGUCCUCGCGGACCACCGAAGCGCUUCGGCCCCUUGGACCAGAGCUUUGCACGGCGCAUGGGACUGCGACGGCAUCCUGUUCGCUCUGUUCCGCGGUUCAAUCGCCUGCAUGUACGACCUCCGGGAACAAGGCACGGGUACAGCUGUGACGGCGAGGACAUGGAGGAUCGCCGUCCCGCAGCCAGAGUCGACCAAAGGCCCGCAAAAAAUCUUGAGCGGGAAGAUCCUAUGGGGUUACCAGCCGACGCUCCUAUCUCCGGAAGGAAUUUUCGGUGACGCUGCGUGGUACGGCGGUGGUGGUGCCUUAAGGCCUCUCCGACGAUCUAACCGACGAAAUGGGAGUGCCGCGGCGCAGGCGCAGCACGACUUACCCGGGAUGACAGAUGUGCUAGUAGAGAUGAUGGAAAAGCUGCCGAAUGGCAUAAAGGAUUUGAUUGCUCCGGACCAAUCCAAGAAGGCAUAUGUUGGAGUAGGAGUAUAG